rnacentral:rRNA from 1 species
AUUGAACGCUGGCGGCAUGCCUUACACAUGCAAGUCGAACGGCAGCACGGGAGCAAUCCUGGUGGCGAGUGGCGAACGGGUGAGUAAUAUAUCGGAACGUGCCCAGUCGUGGGGGAUAACGCAGCGAAAGCUGUGCUAAUACCGCAUACGAUCUAUGGAUGAAAGCGGGGGAUCGCAAGACCUCGCGCGAUUGGAGCGGCCGAUAUCAGAUUAGCUAGUUGGUGGGGUAAAGGCCCACCAAGGCGACGAUCUGUAGCUGGUCUGAGAGGACGACCAGCCACACUGGAACUGAAACACGGUCCAGACUCCUACGGGAGGCAGCAGUGGGGAAUUUUGGACAAUGGGCGCAAGCCUGAUCCAGCAAUGCCGCGUGCAGGAUGAAGGCCUUCGAGUUGUAAACUGCUUUUAUACGGAACGAAACGGUCCUUUCUAAUACAGGGGGCUAAUGACGGUACCGUAAGAAUAAGCACCGGCUAACUACGUGCCAGCCGCCGCGGUAAUAC